rnacentral:rRNA from 1 species
UACGUAGGCAGCGAGCGUUGUUCGGAGUUACUGGGCGUAAAGGGUGUGUAGGCGGUUAUUUAAGUUUGGUGUGAAAUCUCCCGGCUCAACCGGGAGGGUGCGCCGAAUACUGAAUGACUUGGAGUGCGGGAGAGGAGAGUGGAAUUCCUGGUGUAGCGGUGAAAUGCGCAGAUAUCAGGAAGAACACCCGUGGCGAAGGCGGCUCUCUGGUACGUGACUGACGCUGAGACGCGAAAGCGUGGGGAGCGAACAGG